GAGCCGUUCGUUAAUAUCUUCCUAGUUGCUCUUUCUUUUUAACAAAACACUCCUUACAAAAUUCUCUGACUAUUAUAUCAUGUCUUACAAAACCCACGUAUUCCCAUGCUUGAUAGGUAUCUAUAGUAAUUCAUUAGUAUGUAGCUAUUUCAAUGUAAUUUAGAUCUUGAACAAGUGCUGUCGACAGUUGCCUGACAAACGCCAACGAAAAACUCAAACCGCGCAAAAGUUUGAAGGCUGCAAAACCGCAUGACCAAGGCAACAGAAUUAGCUACACAAUCCCAAGAAACAAACAGGGAAUCAACGUGCUACCUCCUACAAGAAGGAUGUCUGAAGAUUAAGAUAUCCCUAACCAUCAAUUAUUUUUUUGGCAUGGACAUAUAAAAAUAUUCUUGUAUAUGUGAAGACUUGCUGGGGGAUGUAUCCUUCGACUGCUAUAAUUUCGGCAAAAGUUUUGUGGUUAUCCUCAGCUGCCUUCACAUCCGCGCUUGCUGCCUCACCAUACCUAACAAUGGAGUGAAUGCCGAUCGUCUUUUUAAAAUUCUCGAAUCAGCCCCGACUGGCUCAUCCAAUGCCGUUCCGUACAAGUGCCUGGGGUCUGCUGCAGCAAAUCAGCGUAAAUAGCUCAUGCCAUCUCGAAGAUUACUGCCUCCGCCACAGUAUCUCCUGCGAGUUGUUUCUUCGUCAACCACACCAUCAGCAACUUCUCCAUAUUUUCAUGAAUAGAUGUCUGCUGUUUAGAUAUUAUUUUAACGCCCUUGGCUGGUGUUAUAGCCUUUAUCGAUUCCUGAUUUAGUAUAGUGCGGAUCGUAGAAUUGCUAAGCCCGUACUGCUUCGUCAAGUCGACUACACGUACACCUUGGUCAUGUUUUUCAAUAAUUUCUUUCUUUAAUUUAAGGCACAUCAUCCGCUUUUCUUCUUAGCACUGUCCUUCACAUUCACUUCUUUUGGAUCCAUAGUAGGAAAAAACGAAGUUUUGCAAAAUAACUGCAAGCACAAUUGCGAGCACAACACUCGUGCAACGACUAUGUAAGUAUUUUACCUACCGUCUAGCUAACGAUCUACUAACGAUCGUCGCACUUGCUAAUGUGCAUGUCUGCCUAGCUAUCGAGUGAGACACCGGAUGCUGAGCGGAUGUUACAACGUUCACUGUGACGUUUGCUACGUCAACUAGCGAUGGGGUAUCUGAAGCUGGUUCGUAACCCGAAUUUUAGCUCGAACUCAAAGCAAAAAAUCUGCCGAGAGACAGCUUGUAUCUCGAAAACUCAUUAGUUGGGACACGUGUAAGUCAAUG